UUUAAGUGCAACUAUAAGUUUCUAUACCAACCUUCGAUGGUUAUUUAUAUUUGAAUUUUUUUUUAAAUUAGUAUUUUUGUUAUUAUUAAAUGAUAAAAUAUAAAUAGUAUUUUAUUUGUAGCUAAUGUUUUAAAUUUUUUUAAAUAAAACGAACAAUCAAAGUUGGCUAUCGAAAAUCAUGGCAUCAUCGGGG
rnacentral:pre_miRNA from 1 species